rnacentral:lncRNA from 1 species
UACAACAUACACACAAGGAACAAAGAAAACAACAGAGGGGAAAACUUAGGAGUAAACAUACCUUGCUUCAGUUUCUGAUAGAUCUUUUGCUUGAGUGUACAACACUUUAAGCCUUCCCAAUGAGGUAACCCACACUUCUCAACCACUUCAGCACCUAUAUCAAAGUCAGAAUAAAAUUUCAACAAAAAAAAAAAAUUAGCACAUAUCAUAGCAGAAUAAACACCCUAAAUGAAAUAUGUUGUGGAAACACUCAAUUGACUCCAACAUUAUUUCCUAUAUGAGUGUACUCAGUAUGUAUGUUACUAGAUAUUUGAAACAUAAGGUCUAUGUAGAUUCUUGAAAUAAAAGGGAAUCAGUUCAAGGCAAGGUUGAUCCGCAUACCACCCAAAUUCCAAACAAAUAGGUUCUAAUGGCUUUUAAUUAUAAAAAUAAAUUAUAAAAUGUUAAAGCAUUUAGUUUAUUCUUUUUAACGCAUAUUUUUGAGUAAAAGUAUCAUGUACAGGAAGGUUCACUUCCU